rnacentral:rRNA from 1 species
AGGGAUCAUUACAGAGUUUUCUAAACUCCCAACCCUAUGUGAACUUACCUUUGUUGCUUCGGCGGCGGAGGCUACCCUGCGGGAGAAUACCACUUAGUGGUUACCCUGUAGUUUCAGGUACAUCAGCUACCCGGUAGUCAUCCCCGCCGGCGGCCAACUAAACUCUGUUUUCUUUGGAAUUCUGAAUAACAAACUUAAUAAGUUAAAACUUUCAACAACGGAUCUCUUGGUUCUGGCAUCGAUGAAGAACGCAGCGAAAUGCGAUAAGUAAUGUGAAUUGCAGAAUUCAGUGAAUCAUCGAAUCUUUGAACGCACAUUGCGCCCAUUAGCAUUCUAGUGGGCAUGCCUGUUCGAGCGUCAUUUCACCACUUAAGCCUUGUUGCUUAGCGUUGGGAGCCUACGGCACGGCCCGUAGCUCCUUAAAGUGAUUGGCGGAGUUGGUUCUCACUCUAAGCGUAGUAAUUAUAUCUCGCUUCUGUAGUGGUCCCGGCCCCUGCCGUAAAACCCCUUAUACAAAGGUUGACCUCGGAUCAGGUAGGAAUACCCGCUGAACUUAAGCA